AGCAGCCGCGGUAAUUCCAGCUCCAAUAGCGUAUAUUAAAGUUGUUGCAGUUAAAAAGCUCGUAGUUGAACUUCGGGAUCAAUGGAUCGGUCAUGCCGUUGGUAUGUACUGGUCACAUUGGUUCUCACCUUCUAAGGAACCAUGAUGUCAUUCAUUUGAUGUUGUGGGGAAUUAGGACUGUUACCUUGAAAAAUUAGAGUGUUUAAAGCAGGCUAACGCUUGAAUACAUUAGCAUGGAAUAAUGAAAUAGGACAUCGCAUUCUAUUUUGUUGGUUUCUAGGAUCGAUGUAAUGAUUAAUAGGGAUAGUUGGGGGCAUUAGUAUUCAAUUGUCAGAGGUGAAAUUCUUGGAUUUAUUGAAGACUAACUACUGCGAAAGCAUUUGCCAAGGAUGUUUUCAUUAAUCAAGAACGAAAGUUAGGGGAUCGAAGACGAUCAGAUACCGUCGUAGUCUUAACCAUAAACUAUGCCGACUAGGGAUCGGAUGAUGUUGA
rnacentral:rRNA from 1 species